GUAGGUGAACCUGCGGAAGGAUCAUUAACACAAAAACAAUCCGUUUAUCCACCCCAUUUGUACGAACUGAGUUUCUACUCUUUUCUCUUCUUUAUUACUUUAUUUUUUAACCCCAAACUUACUACCAAACAUGCAAUAGACUGAUAUGAUUUAUUUAUCAUAAAACACACUGUUGAAUGAUACAUAAAACAACUCUUAGCAACGGAUAUCUUGGCUCUC
rnacentral:misc_RNA from 1 species